CUUUUCUUGUUAGUUUUUGAAGUAUGGCCUGCCCGCUGACUUUUGUUGAAGGGCCGCGGUAUUUUGACCGUGCAAAGGUAGCAUAAUCAUUAGUUCUUUAAUUGUGAUCUGGAAUGAAUGGCUUGACGAGAUGCGAGCUGUCUUAAAUUUGAAUGUUUUAUUGAAUUUGGUUUUUGAGUUAAAAUUCUUAGAUGUUUUUAUGGGACGAGAAGACCCUAUAGAGUUUGACAUGUUGAUUUGCUUGAUUUAUUUGUAGUCUGUUUUAUUUUUAAUAAGUGAAUCUUAUGUUUUGUUGGGGUGAUGAGAGGAAUAUAAUUUAACUCCUCUUGGUUUAGUGGUUAUAUUGAUUUAUAUUUAUUUGAUCAAUUUAUUUUGAUUAUAAAAUUAAAUUACC
rnacentral:rRNA from 1 species